rnacentral:lncRNA from 1 species
CCUUUUCGUGUUGUUAAUAGUAAGGUUGUGUCUUAAAAAAAAGUCUAAAAUAUGACAGUCACACCAUUUUAUCUAUAUUCCCAACUAAUUAAAUGUUCCCUCCGAUCGAGUUCGCCCAUCCCAUCAUAAUUUUUCUAACAUUUUUGUGUCGUACUUUAAAUUAUUUUCUCUCAAUAGGAGAGAUAUGAUUGCGUUGCGAUAAAGAUAAUGUGAUAUAGCUAUUACACAGAAGUCUAAAUAUGAUAGUCACACCAUCUUAUCUAUGUUCCCAACUAAUUAAAUUGUUCCCUCCGAUUGAGUUCACCCAUCCCAUCAUAAUUUUUCUAACACUUUUAUAUCGUACUUUAAAUUAUUUUCUCUCAAAAGGAGAGAUGAUUACGUUGUGAUAAAGAUAAUGUGAUAUAGCUAUUACACAAAAGACCACCUGAAUAUCUUUUCUUUUUCUUUUUUUUUUUUGAGAGAUAGGUAGCACGCUACCCGCUUUGUUUAUUUUAUUUAGAAAUAAACUUAGUUAGAAAUAUGAAUCAGCUAGGAUUCGAACUUGGGUCUCGGAUACCAACCACCAAGCCCUUUGCCACUUGCUCUAGGGACGGUCGGUUACCACCUGAAUAUCUUAUUAGAGUUCCCUUUUAGUUUUUACUAGUUAAGUGCACGUGCAAUGCACGUCGCACAAAUACUAAAAAAUAAAUUUUUUAUAAAUAAAUAUUAUAGAUUCGAUAUAUAGUAUUUAAUCAUUACAAAAAAAAAUGACAGAAAUAAGAAAUAGAAUUACAAUAUCAUCAAAGAAAAAAUACAAAAUCCAUCAUGGUAUUAUUGAAAAAAUACACAAAAUUCGUCACUAAACUAACUGAAAAUGUCACCAUCAGUCUCCCUUCCGUACAAAUUGCACUGAAAGUAAGAAAAAUAAUAAAGUAAAUAUUAGUAAAUUAUCAGAAUAGAUAAAAUUAAUAAAAAAUAUAAAUUUAAUAAGAAUUCAUAUAAGUAAAAAUUUUUAGCUUAAUUUUAUUCCUUGAGUUUUUGGAAUAGAUGGAUUAAGCACAUUCUCACUCGCAAAACUUUGCUAAAUAAAUUGAUCCUGAUAAAUAAAUUUAAAAUACUACAGAAAAAAUAAAAUAUUAAAAAGUANAGUUCGCCCAUCCCAUCAUAAUUUUUCUAACAUUUUUGUGUCGUACUUUAAAUUAUUUUCUCUGAAUAGGAGAGAUAUGAUUGCGUUGCGAUAAAGAUAAUGUGAUAUAGCUAUUACACAUAAGUUUAAAAUAUGAUAGUCACACCACCUUAUCUAUGUUCCCAACUAAUUAAAUUGUUCCCUCCGAUUGAGUACACCCAUCCCAUCAUAAUUUU